rnacentral:rRNA from 1 species
GUGGAUUAGAUACCCUGGUAGUCCACGCCGUAAACGAUGAUAACUAGCUGUCUGGGCUCUUGGAGCUUAGGUGGCGCAGCUAACGCAUUAAGUUAUCCGCCUGGGGAGUACGGCCGCAAGGUUAAAACUCAAAGAAAUUGACGGGGGCCUGCACAAGCGGUGGAGCAUGUGGUUUAAUUCGAAGCAACGCGCAGAACCUUACCAACGUUUGACAUGUCCAGUAUGGUUAGUGGAGACACUUUCCUUCAGUUCGGCUGGCUGGAACACAGGUGCUGCACGGCCGUCGCCAACU